AUUGAACGCUGGCGGCAUGCUUUACACAUGCAAGUCGAACGGCAGCACGGGGGCAGCCCUGGUGGCGAGUGGCGAACGGGUGAGUAAUACAUCGGAACGUGCCCGGUCGUGGGGGAUAACGUAGCGAAAGUUACGCUAAUACCGCAUACGAUCUGAGUAUGAAAGCGGGGGACCUUCGGGCCUCGCGCGAUCGGAGCGGCCGAUGUCAGAUUAGGUAGUUGGUGGGGUAAAGGCCUACCAAGCCGACGAUCUGUAGCUGGUCUGAGAGGACGACCAGCCACACUGGGACUGAGACACGGCCCAGACUCCUACGGGAGGCAGCAGUGGGGAAUUUUGGACAAUGGGCGCAAGCCUGAUCCAGCCAUUCCGCGUGCAGGACGAAGGCCUUCGGGUUGUAAACUGCUUUUGUACGGAACGAAAAGGCUCUGGCUAAUACCUGGGGCUCAUGACGGUACCGUAAGAAUAAGCACCGGCUAACUACGUG
rnacentral:rRNA from 1 species